UACGUAGGGUGCAAGCGUUGUCCGGAAUUAUUGGGCGUAAAGAGCUCGUAGGCGGUUUGUCGCGUCUGCUGUGAAAAUCCAGGGCUUAACCCUGGACCUGCAGUGGGUACGGGCAGACUGGAGUGCGGUAGGGGAGAUCGGAAUUCCUGGUGUAGCGGUGAAAUGCGUAGAUAUCCGGAGGAACACCGGUGGCGAAGGCGGCUUCCUGGACCGACACUGACGCUGAGGCGCGAAAGCUAGGGGAGCAAACGGG
rnacentral:rRNA from 1 species